rnacentral:lncRNA from 1 species
AUGGCUACCCAACAGAGAACCUGGCCCGAAUUCUGUAGUCAUGCUGGUGUGGAAGAGCAAUUCAACUGGUGUCGGAGGAUUUCCAUUGACAUAAAUUUAGUGUUUUCACUCCCCCUCAUCAUUUCAUCAUUUCUACCAAAAGAACUGGAGAGCUGUGGUCAAUGGCAUCACUGA